rnacentral:rRNA from 1 species
UACGUAGGCAGCAAGCGUUGUUCGGAUUCAUUGGGCGUAAAGGGUGCGUAGGCGGCGCGGUAAGUCGGGUGUGAAAUCUCGGAGCUUAACUCCGAAACUGCAUUCGAUACUGCCGUGCUUGAGGACUGGAGAGGAGACUGGAAUUUACGGUGUAGCGGUGAAAUGCGUAGAUAUCGUAAGGAAGACCAGUGGCGAAGGCGGGUCUCUGGACAGUUCCUGACGCUGAGGCACGAAGGCCAGGGGAGCAAACGGG